rnacentral:rRNA from 1 species
AUUCGAUUAGAGUUUGAUCCUGGCUCAGGAUGAACGCUAGCGGCAGGCCUAAUACAUGCAAGUGGAAGGGUGUCUUCGGACAUAGUGGCGCACGGGUGCGUAACACGUAUGCAACCUACCUUACAUGGGGGGAUAGCCUUUCGAAAGGGAGAUUAAUACCGCAUAAGACAGUAGCUGGGCAUCCAGCAGCUGUUAAAGAUUUAUCGAUGUAAGCUGGGCAUGCGUCCAAUUAGCUAGUUGGUGAGGUAACGGCUCACCAAGGCAAUGAUUGGUAGGGGAACUGAGAGGUCAAUCCCCCACACUGGCACUGAGAUACGGGCCAGACUCCUACGGGAGGCAGCAGUAGGGAAUAUUGGGCAAUGGACGCAAGUCUGACCCAGCCAUGCCGCGUGCAGGAUGAAGGCGUUAUGCGUUGUAAACUGCUUUUAUACAGGAAGAAACGACUCUUGCGAGAGGCAUUGACGGUACUGUAUGAAUAAGCACCGGCUAACUCCGUGCCAGCAGCCGCGGUAAUACGGAGGGUGCAAGCGUUGUCCGGAUUUAUUGGGUUUAAAGGGUGCGCAGGUGGUUUAUUAAGUCAGUGGUGAAAGACGGUCGCUCAACGAUUGCAGUGCCAUUGAAACUGGUAGACUUGAGUAAAGUAGAGGUGGGCGGAAUUGAUAGUGUAGCGGUGAAAUGCAUAGAUAUUAUCAAGAACUCCAAUUGCGUAGGCAGCUCACUUGGCUUUUACUGACACUCAUGCACGAAAGUGUGGGUAUCAAACAGGAUUAGAUACCCUGGUAGUCCACACUGUAAACGAUGAUAACUAGGUGUCGGCCGAAUCUGGUCGGUGCCACAGCGAAAGCGUUAAG